rnacentral:rRNA from 1 species
CAAUGGGCGCAAGCCUGAUCCAGCCAUGCCGCGUGAGUGAUGAAGGCCUUAGGCUCGUAAAGCUCUUUCGCCAGAGAUGAUAAUGACAGUAUCUGGUAAAGAAACCCCGGCUAACUCCGUGCCAGCAGCCGCGGUAAUACGGAGGGGGUUAGCGUUGUUCGGAAUUACUGGGCGUAAAGCGUACGUAGGCGGAUUAGUCAGUCAGAGGUGAAAUCCCAGGGCUCAACCCUGGAACUGCCUUUGAUACUGCUAGUCUUGAGUUCGAGAGAGGUGAGUGGAAUUCCAAGUGUAGAGGUGAAAUUCGUAGAUAUUUGGAGGAACACCAGUGGCGAAGGCGGCUCACUGGCUCGAUACUGACGCUGAGGUACUAAAGUGUGGGGAGCAAACAGGAUUAGAUACCCUGGUAGUCCACACCGUAAACGAUGAAUGCCAGUCGUCCGGCAGUAUACUGUUCGGUGACACACCUAACGGAUUAA